rnacentral:rRNA from 1 species
AAUGAACGCUGGCGGCGCGCCUAAUACAUGCAAGUCGAGCGAGAAGACGUAGCAAUACGUUUGUAAAGCGGCGAACGGGUGAGGAAUACAUGGGUAACCUACCCUCGAGUGGGGAAUAACUAGCCGAAAGGUUAGCUAAUACCGCGUACGCUUCUUGGACUUCGGUUCAGGGAGGAAAGCGAUACCGUGGGUAUCGCGCUCUUGGAUGGGCUCAUGUCCUAUCAGCUUGUUGGGAGGUAACGGCUCACCAAGGCUUCGACGGGUAGCUGGUCUGAGAGGACGAUCAGCCACACUGGCACUGCGACACGGGCCAGACUCCUACGGGAGGCAGCAGUAAGGAAUAUUGCGCAAUGGGCGAAAGCCUGACGCAGCGACGCCGCGUGGGGGAUGAAGGUCUUCGGAUU